rnacentral:tmRNA from 1 species
GGGGGCGCACCGGAUUCGACGGGAUUGAAUCGCGAUGCGGAGGCGUGCCGGGUUCCGAGCUCCCGUAAAACGAUCGGAAAAACAAAACUGCCAAUACCAACAUGCAGUUUGCUUACGCUGCUUAAUUAAAACCUAAGUCAGCGCGCUCCGGCGGGGCAGCUCACGGCCUUGUCAGUGAGUGUCAUUUAGUGGGAUAGGGUGCAGGCUUCUGUUCGGAGCCGAGACCCGAGAUCAAUCGGACUGGUCCUUCGCUGUCUUGCCCGGUUCUUAGGCGAGGGAUGAGAUUCAGAAUCAGGAUACGCACGUAGGCUCUUCAUUUCGGGCUUUUCCGGACGGGGGUUCAACUCCCCCCGCCUCCACCA